GACGAACGCUGGCGGCGUGCCUAAUACAUGCAAGUAGAACGCUGAAGGAGGAGCUUGCUCUUCUGGAUGAGUUGCGAACGGGUGAGUAACGCGUAGGUAACCUGCCUGGUAGCGGGGGAUAACUAUUGGAAACGAUAGCUAAUACCGCAUAAGAGUAGAUGUUGCAUGACAUUUGCUUAAAAGGUGCAAUUGCAUCACUACCAGAUGGACCUGCGUUGUAUUAGCUAGUUGGUGAGGUAACGGCUCACCAAGGCAACGAUACAUAGCCGACCUGAGAGGGUGAUCGGCCACACUGGGACUGAGACACGGCCCAGACUCCUACGGGAGGCAGCAGUAGGGAAUCUUCGGCAAUGGACGGAAGUCUGACCGAGCAACGCCGCGUGAGUGAAGAAGGUUUUCGGAUCGUAAAGCUCUGUUGUAAGAGAAGAACGAGUGUGAGAGUGGAAAGUUCACACUGUGACGUAUCUACCAGAA
rnacentral:rRNA from 1 species